rnacentral:rRNA from 1 species
AUUGAACGCUGGCGGCAGGCCUAACACAUGCAAGUCGAACGGUAACAGGAAACUGCUUGCUGUUUCGCUGACGAGUGGCGGACGGGUGAGUAAUGUCUGGGAAACUGCCUGAUGGAGGGGGAUAACUACUGGAAACGGUAGCUAAUACCGCAUAACGUCGCAAGACCAAAGAGGGGGACCCUCGGGCCUCUUGCCAUCGGAUGUGCCCAGAUGGGAUUAGCUUGUUGGUGGGGUAACGGCUCACCAAGGCGACGAUCCCUAGCUGGUCUGAGAGGAUGACCAGCCACACUGGAACUGAGACACGGUCCAGACUCCUACGGGAGGCAGCAGUGGGGAAUAUUGCACAAUGGGCGCAAGCCUGAUGCAGCCAUGCCGCGUGUAUGAAGAAGGCCUUCGGGUUGUAAAGUACUUUCAGCGGGGAGGAAGGGAGUAAAGUUAAUACCUUUGCUCAUUGACGUUACCCGCAGAAGAAGCACCGGCUAACUCCGUG